AGUUACGGCCAUACCACCCUGAAUGCGCCCGAUCUCGUCUGAUCUCGGAAGCUAGCAGGGUCCGGCCUGGUUAGUCUUGGAUGGGAGACCGCCUGGGAAACCAGGUGCUGUAGCUU
rnacentral:rRNA from 1 species